GAUGAACGCUGGCGGCGUGCCUAACACAUGCAAGUCGAGCGAAAGGACGGGUAGCUUGCCUGUCUGAUGAUAGAGGCGGAAGGGUGAUUCCUACGAGGUUAACACACCUUUUGGAAUGGGAUAAUUAUGCGAAAUCUGAUCUUAUACCGGAAAAUAUUUUGAACCAAAGGGAUCUACAGUGUAAGACGGCUUUGCUGCCCCUUAGAGAUGUAUCCUCGUUGCAGUAGAUAGUUGGUAAGGUGACGGCUUACCAAGGCAAGGAUGCGUAGCCGAACUGAGAGGAUGAUCGGCCACACUGGAACUGAGACACGGUCCAGACUCCUACGGGAGGCAGCAGUAGGGAAUCGUGCGCAAUGGGCGAAAGCCUGACGGAGCUACGCCGCGUGAGUGAUGAAGGUCUUCGGAUUGUAAAACUCUGUUAUUCGGAAUGAACAGAUGUGUAUGUAGCUAUGCACAUCUUGACGGUACCUACAGAAGAAGCCACGGCUAACUACGUG
rnacentral:rRNA from 1 species